rnacentral:lncRNA from 1 species
CAAAGGCCCUGAGGCAAGAGGGAGGAUGGCAGUAUGAGUAAAUAAAAGAAGGCCAGGGGUGGCUGAAUUGCAGAGUUAGGGGCUUGUAGAAGAAGCAGCAGCUGGAGAGGUUGAUAGGAGCUGAAAACCACGUGAGACUUGAAGGCUAGGUUAAGGAGUUUGCAAUGCUUUCAAAGAGCAGUAGGAAGCUAACUAGGAUUGUAAACAGGUGUGUCUUGAUCAGAUCUGUAUUUUGCGGGAAAAAAAAUCACUCUCAUUGUGUUUGGAAUAAGAGGCCAGAGACGGGCCAGGUUGAUGUAUUAGUUUUGUAUUUCUGCUGAAACAAGUUACCACAAUGAAGCAGUUUAACACAAUAUUGGAGUUUUUGUAGGUCAGCAGCCGGGGCACAGCUGGGUUCUCCUUUAGGAUCUCCCGGGGUAGAAAUACAGGCAUCAGCUGGGCUGAGGGCCUCCUCUCAAUUUCGGGGGUUGUUGGCAGAAUUCAUUUCCUCCUCCAGCUGUCCACGCAGCCCCUCCCAUCUUCAGGUCAGUAAUGCUACCAGGUCGAGUCCUUCUCACGCUUCCAGUGUCUCCAUCUUCUGUGCUGCCUCUGUCCUGCUUCCUCUUCUGCCCUCAGCCCGCAGACAGUUCUGCUGCUGAGGGCUCCUGCGGUUACACUGGGUGCACCUGGACCACCCAGGACACUCUCCCCGUUUUAAAGUCAAACUUAUGAAUAACCUUCAUUACAUCCACAAAGGCCUUUAUGCCAUGUAAGUGUGCACCAGCCCUACCCCAAAUGUAAAAUAGACCCCCUGAGAACAGGAACUUUUCAGUUGUGUUCACAGCUAUAUCCUAGUGCCCGGGACAGAGGUUGACAUGGAGUAGUUGCUAAAUACGUAUUUGUUGAAUGAAUGAAAGGAGUGCCAGCUGGGUGCGAGAUUCUGUAUCAGAUGCUGGAGAUGCAGUGCUUAUCUUCCCACCCCAGCUACACUGCCAGCAACCCCUUCUCCUUCCUGAGGGAGGCACAGUGAAGUGCUCUGUGGACUACAACCUGGGAGGAGCCUCAAACAGCGGAGGAAGUUUCUGUGGCCCAGGAGGCUGGGUCAGGAAAUGGGUGGCUGUAACUGUAGGGAUGGGCACAGUUCACUGACGAGCCUGAGACUCAGUUCAACAAGCUGGCACUGAGCUCCUGCUGUGGGGGUUCUGGGCCACUCGCUUGCAUCUUCCUAACACACGUCUGGGUGUUUGAGAAUGUGAGCUCUGAAUGUGGAUGCAAAUGCAUGGCUAUCUACGUCCAAGAGAAGAAUGAAGUAGAGAAUCAUGCUCUCAAAGGCAAACUGAGACAAACUUCGCAAAUUGCAAUUAAAGAUGAACUGAGAUGUUACCAAGUUGCUACUUAGAAACUAUACAAAAUAUGCAAAUAUAUUUUCUUUAUAGAAUUAAGCUACCCAAGAACCAGACUCAAAAACAUUAAUUGAGCACCUAUUAUAUGCCAAGUCCUCUGCUUGGAAAACGGGUUUAAUUCUUACAGUGGUCCUUUGCAGUAUGUCUAAUUUUCCCCAUUUUACGGGUAACGGGCAAGAGAGCAGCCUGAUGCACUGGUCACGUCCUACAGACCGGCAGAGCAGGGGCGGGAACGCAGGUCUUCUGACCAUGGAUCCUGGGUCAUCUCCUGAGACACCAACCACCUGCUCAGCAUCAUGACAGCACAUUGGGAGGCAGCCUGGGGAGAGUCGAGAGCAGCGAUGGCUACGCCCGAUUGAGUGUGAGUGAGAAUCUCAGCGUUACUCUUUCUAGCUGGGUGAGCUUGGGCCAGUAACUUGACUUUCAUAAGCCUCAGUCUUCUGAUCUCUAAAAUUGGAAUAAUAAAAUAAAACCCACGUUGCAGGGUUGUUUAAGGACUGAAUGAGCUUCUUCCAACAAGCAUCCCUCAUCAUGCCUGGUACACGGCACUCAAUAGAUGGGAGUUACGUAUCUUGUCAAAGGAGAGAAGUUAGCCCUCAGGGUGCUCUUUUUAAGCUUGUUCACAUCCACCAGCUCCUUGUAUUCUCUAGCAAAUGGAGCUAGCUGGUGGAGGGCAGGGCUCCAACCCAACGCUGUCUCCAAGAUGGUGCUCCUCGCUCCCCAGCCCUCUCCACCCAGAGCGAGCAGCCCAAUUAUCCUCAUUAAAGCAGGGGCUUCCCACUGCCCAGCCUCACGUCUGCAGCCAGGAGCAGAAGAGUCAGAGGGACAUGAGUGGCCAUCAGCAGUUAACAUUCAAUGUCUCAGGACAUAUCCACAACCCGAAGUCUCUUGUCACAUUCUCUCCCUGAGGUUUCCAACAACUGAAGAGACUCACAUUGGAAUCAAAAUGCUGCCUUUUUAACAUAAUGACUGCCCCCUU